UUUUCCUAGUGGAAGAGAACAGCAUGUAGGUGAACUUGAGGCUGGAGGGAGGGGAGGGAUGCAAGCCAGUGGGCAGCCCCAGUAAAUGCCCUUACGGACAUACCACACUGGAAGGAACCAACAAAGAGCUUAUUCACCUUCUACUUUGGAAUUGUAUCUUAGGCGGGUAAACCUGCCAAUUCCAUUUAUGACAUAAGCAGACUAGUUCUUAACUGUUCAUAACCCAACAGACAACAACUUGAAAAUGUAACACUUUGCAACACCUGCCCAGGCAAGAGGACUUCCAGCUCCUUAGAGAAGCAUGAGGCAUCAAACGAGUGGGCCAUUCAGAAACUAACCGUCCAAAUGAACAGCCAGUGAGGGCAGAGACAGCGGCUAUCCUGUUCACCACUGUCACCAGGAACAAAACAAAGACCCCUGAGGGAGACUCACCUGUACAGCUCCAAAAACUCUGGAUAGGGGUUUACGGGAUCCAGUGGCCCAUAGAUAAAAUGAACUAGGAAAGAGAAGAGGAAUGAAUUACUAAAGGUCUCAAAUGUAUUCUCCUACCCCUUCAAAAAAAUUGUUUUUCCAGUC